rnacentral:lncRNA from 1 species
GUCCAGACCCCAUCCUGCUGUCCUCAACCACCCUCCCAUGGCAGUGUCCAACCCCACCUCACCAGCUUUCUUGCUGCAAGGUCCCAAGGCCCCAGAGCUGGAGCAGCCCAGGACCCGAAUGAAGCUGGCUCAGUGGGUGUGUCUCAUUCAUGUCAGGGCUGGAGAAAAGAGCCACAUAUUGCGAGGCUCCUGCCCCCUCUGGCACUGGGCACCAGUCCAGAGCCCAGAGCGGUCCCCCCGUGAAGAAGGACACAUCCCAGCGCUCUGGAUGUGCUGUGAUCGAGCUAAAUCUAGAGAAAAAUCAAAGAUGGGAUGAAGAAAGGAAUUAAUGAAAGAAUCAGAAAAAAGGGCGGAUGUGCAAUCUUCACCUGUUUAUUCGGUAGAGGGUGCCAUCUUCAGGUAGCCCUUCACGUUGUACAGAAAACAAUGGAGACUUCUCCUCCUGGGGCAGUGGUGUCACCCUUCCUAAGCUACAGAGAUGUUGCUUCAACUUACAGCUCAGAUAACAAGUGCCACUUCCAGGCUAAAGGAAUCCACUCAGCAAACUCCCAGUAUGAAUGUUUCUGCUCUCGGCUGGAGAAACAGAAGAAGCAUUAAUGAAGGAGAGGGAUUCUACAGCCGCACAGUCCAAUAAAACUUUCUGUGGGGAUGGAAAUGAUCCAUUAUCUGUGCUCCCCAAUAUGCCAGUUGCUAGCUCCAAUUAGCUACCAAGCACCUAAAAUGUGGCUAGCGCAGCUGAGAAACAGAGCCUUUCAUUUUAUUUCACUUUAAUUAAAGAGUUCUAGAGCUCUUGCCUCUAGAGCAGUGCUUUUUAGUAAUGAAUGUCAUCACGGUAUUCCACCCAUGAGUGCUUCUCUUUCCCACGGCCCCACUUCAAUACCGCCCUUGCACUCCUCUACCACCCCUUUAUUAACCCCAGCCCCCUGUCCCCAAGUCUCACAAGUCCUUGGUGAGAUGGAGGCACUUCCAAACAGGAGCCAUGAUAUGAUUUGGUAAGCCAUUGGGAGCCAUUCCUCGGCAGUGUGGUUUCUGUUUCUGAGGAUCAAAUUGAAGAAAAUAUAAGGGAGCAAAUUCUACAGGUUGGACAAAGUCCCAGAGACAGCUCUUUCCCAGUUUUUAUCUUCUUUGGCAAUACCUCCCCCUCCAAUCACUGCCCUAUCAGCAUCUUAAAAGAUUUGUGUUUCAACCACUAUAAUGACUUCUUCACCUUCUGCUCUACUCCUCCAUCGAAAAUGCAAAAUCUGUUACCUAUUUUCUGUUCAGCUUCCUCAACAUCUCCAUGGUAUUUGAUUCACAGGAUUCCCUUAUGCCUCUUUGAAACUCCCGCCCUAUGGAAUAGUCUCCCUUACUCCUCUCCCCUCUCUUAAUAUUCCUUCACAGGUUCUCCCUUC